rnacentral:lncRNA from 1 species
GCACCCCACCUGCAUCACAAGUUACUAAUAGAAGUAUAAAAAAUUUAAAUGUUCUUCCAUAUGCUAUUACAUUUGUAGUUUCAUGUAUAAGAAUAUUAUGAAAUUUACUUUGUUAAUUUGUUGAUAAUACUAAACAAGAAUUAAAUGAUAUUUACGCUAACCAAUUUUUUUUUAUUAAUUUGGUAAUAAAAAAAUUCUUUGAAUAUAUAUAUUAAUAUUUUUUUUAAAAAAAUAGAUAAGGAGGAAUUUAUUCUGAAAAUAAAUCAUUUCUUAUAAUAAAUUUAUUAAUUUAAGAUACUUUUAUAAUAUUUUAAAAAUAAUUAAAAACAUUUUAAGACUUUUUACAUGAUAUAAUGUACAAUAUUUCAGCCAUAGAGUAGGUUAAAAAAAUUGUUCUCCAUAUUUAAAUUUCUAAAUAUAAUUGUUGCUGUAAAACUAAUUUUCAAGAACUAUAAUUAAAAAUCUUACCAAACAAGUAAUAAAUUUCUAAUUUGCCCCAAGCCCACCACAACUGGACAUAUGUAGGAUGGCUAGAGGCCCAACCAAAAUCCCGACUUCGAGGGCUCAAGUGGUGCCGGGUGGGGGGCCUUUAACAUGACCAAACAGUUGGCAAUCGGGAGUAGGGGGGAAAGGAAACAUAGAGGAAGGAAGUUUUGGUCAUUGUCAAAGGGUCAACCAGUGAAAACCAGGGGUGGAAUCGAGGGCGCCGUGGAUUGCAGAAUCUAGGAUUGAAAACAAAGGGUGGUAAGUGGUUUUUUGUGGUCCCCGCCACGAUCAUCACGUUCGGUGGGGUGUACUAUAAAUACCCAGAGAAGCGUAUCCAUUGCUCCACAAAGGAAAACCAGGCAAAACAACCGUCAACAGUGUGAGAAGGAAUAUAGCCUAAAGAUGUCAAGCACAGCUGGUCAGGUUAUACGCUGCAAAGGUAUGCUUGAACUUGCCUUCUCUCCGCUUGUUCCCUGUUUGCAUCGAUUAGUUUAUUUCAUGUGAACCGUUGGCUUCUCUUGGAGUCUUAUGGGUCUUUUCAUUUUUUUUGGGGAAAUAUGACUCGACUUUUAAUGAUCGAGAGCAAAUAAGGUGGUGAAACAAAAAUGAAGUACUGAUCACAUGGCAGAUACGAAAUUGGGGAAUUUUGGAAAUUUUGUGAAAUCAUUCCAUCAGUAGCUAUAUAUAUCCUGAUUUGUCCUGUCCAUUUAGGCGUUGCUAGGUUAUUUGUGAGUGGCGAUCGGCUGUGGAUAUGACUCAAUGUAGAGCAUGGACAGUAAUUUUGGAACUUGGGUAUUCAACCAUUUUCCGUACUGGGUGUACUUCGAUAGAGUGCUUUUCUUUAUGGGUUUAUGAAGAAUGGGUUGGGUGAAUAUGCCCUACAAUGGUCCCACAGUUGUCUAUUUAAGAGGAGGGGUCCUAGUGUCUUUGAUCAUAUUUAUGAUUUUUAGUUAUGUAGAUAAUUGGUUGAAUUCUUUUGACAAAUGGGUAUCUCCAUUACAGCCGCGGUGGCAUGGGAAGCGGGAAAGCCGUUGGUGAUCGAAGAAGUGGAAGUGGCGCCUCCACAGGUCAUGGAGGUCCGUCUGAAGAUCCUCUUCACUUCUCUCUGCCACACCGAUGUUUACUUCUGGGAAGCCAAGGUAACUUCUUCAUGUUAAUGUUAUGUAGUUAUAAACUUACAAUGUAUUGCUUACUAUGUAGAGAUUCAUUUAUAGUUGUGUUCCUUUCUAGGUCGAAUGCUAAACAAUUUGGGUUUUAAUUUGCAGGGACAAACCCCUUUAUUUCCUCGCAUAUUUGGUCAUGAGGCAGGCGGGUAUGAAAAUUCUUAGUUCUUACAACUUAACCAAAAUACUAAAUUCCAUUUUCAUUGUUGUCUACUUCAUUUUUCCAACACAAUCGACCUUUUUAUCUUAAUAAUUUUCUUUGCUUUCCUGUCAUUUUAAUUAGGAUUGUGGAGAGCGUGGGUGAGGGUGUGACAGAUCUCCAACCUGGAGACCAUGUUCUUCCUGUAUUCACCGGAGAAUGCAAGGAGUGCCGGCAUUGCAAGUCGGAGGAAAGUAACAUGUGUGACCUCCUCAGGAUAAACACAGACAGAGGCGUGAUGCUCAGUGAUAACAAGUCAAGAUUCUCUAUUAAUGGAAAACCCGUUUACCAUUUUGUGGGGACUUCCACAUUUAGUGAAUACACUGUGGUCCAUGUUGGUUGCGUUGCCAAGAUCAACCCCGCUGCCCCACUCGACAAAGUUUGUGUUCUUAGCUGUGGAAUCUCUACAGGUGAGGGAGAACCAUGAGAAAAACUUUACAAUUUCCCUAUUUCAUUGGUAUUUUCUUUUGUUUCUUCUCUAGCAAAUGACAAGUGCGCUUUCUGUUAAAGGUCUUGGUGCUACCUUGAAUGUUGCCAAACCAUCGAAGGGUUCAUCAAUCGCCAUUUUCGGUUUAGGAGCAGUGGGGCUUGCUGUGAGUUUCUCCUCUCUAAUGGAAGCCGCUCAUUCUUUUGCUCUUUAUUACUGCCACUUAUGAAAUUGAUUUUACUGUGGUUUCACAUGAUUAGGCUGCUGAGGGAGCUAGAAUUGCAGGUGCUGCCAGAAUUAUUGGGAUUGAUCUAAACCCUAAGAGAUUUAAUGACGGUGAGUGCUCAAAAUGCCCACAAUAUUAAAACAUUGUGUCAUACAUUUUCAAAUUUGUAACCGUACCCUGCUUUAAUGCUAAACUAUUUAUCCAAACUCACACUCCUCGGUGGAUUCUUGUUGCUAACAGCAAAGAAAUUUGGCGUCACUGAGUUUUUGAACCCAAAGGAUCAUGACAAGCCUAUUCAAGAGGUUCAUUCCUUUACCUUCUAUCAUAAAUUGCUGAGAAGCAAAUUUAAGUGUGUGCUUUAUACUGAUGGAGAAUUCUUUUGUGAUUAGGUGAUUGCUGAGAUGACCGGUGGGGGAGUGGACAGAAGCGUUGAGUGUACCGGAAAUGUCAAUGCUAUGAUAUCUGCAUUCGAGUGUGUUCAUGAUGUAAGUUCAUCAGAUCUCAUCUUGUAGUCGUUGGCCAAAGAGAUAUGAAAAUUUUCAAACCAUUUUGAUUAAUUUGGGAGUUUCCAUUGCAGGGGUGGGGUGUUGCUGUACUGGUUGGUGUGCCAAACAAAGACGACUCAUUCAAAACGCAUCCCGUGAAUCUAUUGAACGAGAGGACUCUGAAGGGCACUUUCUUUGGCAACUACAAACCCCGUUCCGACCUUCCUUCAGUGGUGGAAAAAUACAUGAACAAGGUGAUUAAUCAAUUAGCUGAAUUCCUUAAUUAGGUGGUUAUAUUUUGGGAAGAUGUCUUACUCGGUUGUUUUGCCGUGGACAGGAGCUUGAAGUGGAGAAAUUCAUCACACAUGAAGUCCCUUUUGCAGAGAUCAACAAGGCCUUCGAAUAUAUGCUGAGCGGGGAUGGGCUUCGAUGCAUCAUUCGCAUGGAUGCAUAAAACAUUGGAGAGAUUUGCCUAUUCCAGUCGGCAUAAGUGUCUUAAGUACUCUGUCUUUUAAUGCAUUUGAGUUUGCUUUUUCAAAGUGUGUUUGCGUGAUGAGAUCAGAUUUUGUGGAGAGUAAUGCUAUAUGAAUAAAGCUUUAAUACAAACAAUGUCUAUGCAGUUGCAAUAUAUAACAGUUUUCUCAUCUCAUUUAUUUUUUAUUUUAUUUUUUCCUUUUAAUUGGGCUACCCAUGAUCUAAUCCUAAAAUGAUCCCAACCCAAUUCUCCCAUAACUUGGAACCGCACAAUCAUAGCCAAUGACUCACAACCAUAGCCAUAUCCAUGGCUUUAAAAUGCAUCUACUUGGUUAAGAGGAACCUCUACAUAUAUUGCGCCAAGAACAUUCUCCCCUAACCGAUGUGGGACAUCACAACAUAAGAGUCAUUUUAUACCUUAAGAACCUAAGAAUUAUGGUACAAAUGACUACAACGAUAUAAUCUUAUAGCCUAAAAGUUUUUAAUUACCAAAUUUUUAUUCAAAGUAAGUAAAUCUCAUAGUCUAUUUUUUGUAAGUCAACUUCAAAAAAAUUAUUACAUCAACUACUUUACUUAAAUAAUCAAAUAAUAAAUGGUGUUCAAUUAAAUAAAACUGUAUAAAUUAAUAACUAACCUCAAAUAUUGCUCUUUUUCAAAGGAUACAAAACCAACUUUUAUUAAUAUUAAUGACCUUUAACCAAACCAUUAAAUCGAAUUUUAUUGCAAUAAUACUCUCCACCAAGGUCAACGAUAAUACUUGUAACGCCAAACAAACUAGCAUGAAACAAUUGUGCCUUAUUUUAAUAGAACUAAUAAAAAAUAAAAUAUCACUAUAUUUUUCUGUUAUAAACAAAUAAAAUAAUCUGAGAUGUAUAUUUUUUUUUCAUGUAAAAUGAAUUUGAUGCAUGUAAAAAAAUAAAAUAGCAUUUUAUAUAAUUCAAAAUAAUGCAUAAAAAAAUAUUUUCUUUUAUUGUAUUAAUUUCCCCAUUUUAAAAAAAUACUCAAAAUUAUGAAGAAUUUAAAUCUUGAAAAGCUUAAUCCUCACCUAACAUAAUAUAUAUAUAUAAACCAACCAUUAAUAUUGAUUAUGUAUUUAAAAUUAUAAAUUAACAAUCCUAAUAAUUUUUUAUUUUGGUAUUAUUAUUACUCAUUUUUUUUUUCUUCCUAAUCUAUAAGAAUUUAAUUAAUGACCAAAAUAUAACCCUAACCUUAACAUGUCCUCAUCAUGCCAUGCGAUUCAAGCCAUACUUUUUUUUUUACCAUUCUCCACUGUGCAGUAAUGACAUUCGCAUUUUAUCUUCACGGAUAAUAGUCAUUUUCUUGACUUUUUUUAAUUAUUUAUUUAUUAUUUUAUUUUAUUUUAUUUAUUUAUUUAUUUAUUUAUUAUUAUUAGCACUCAUACAACCCUGCAACAUUCCAUAUAUUUUUCCUGCCGUUUUUUUUUCACACCACUAGUUACGCUUCGAUGGCAGCCAUCCCAUGUACUACCCACGCCAUUGCAUUUUUUCUUUUUUCCUUUUUUCUUUCUUAAAAAAAUUUAAUUCUUCCUUCUUAUUUUCACUAAAAAAAAUCUUCAAACACACUAACAUCCUAUACAUGGACCACCCUUCUUAAUUUUUUUUUUUGGUUCUACUAAUCUAAAUAACCAAAUUCUUAAUCAUUGAAUACGCCUGUAUUCAUUUUUUUUUCAUUUUUUUUAUUUAAAAUCAAAUAAAUUACAAAUUAAGCUAGAUUUAGAUCUCUCAAAAGAGUAUUUAAUUUGUUCAAAAUUGAUUAAUGAAUUUAAAAAUACUAAUCUAAAAGUUAAAAUCUUAUUUGGAAAAAUUGAUUUUUAAAUCCUAAACUCUCAAAUCUUCAACCUAUCCUUUCUCAUCUCUCUAAUCUCUAUGCAAAAAGAGUUUUAUUUAUAAAGAAGUUAGGAAAUCUAAUUUCUAUUUAGAUUUCUUUUUUUAAUGUGAAAAGACUUUUCCACCAUCUUCUAAUUUAUUUAUUUAUCUAUUUUAAAAUUAUCUUUUACGCCUAAGAUCAAGUUUUGGUGUUAUAUCCUCCCCUUCUAAAUAAAAUCUUAAUCCUCUAAACUUGAAAUACCUGAGUCUCAAAAUAGAUGUGGAUUAUUUUUUUUUCAUCUCUUCCUCUAAUUCCCAAGUAGCCUCUCAAAUAAAAUUACUCAACUUUACCUUUACAACUUGACAUAGCAUGAUGCAGCACCUUGUCCAUUAUAUCUACAAUCUAAAAGGGUACUUCUUUAUAAGUCAAAUCCUAUUAAAUCUAAAUAGACUCUAACUCCACAACAUGAUAGGGAUAAAAACCAUAUUUCCUCAAAAUUGAUACGCGGAAUACAUUAUGGAUCUUAGAUUAUCUUGGCAUAAAGUUACUUUAUAUGUUAAAGGGUUUAUAUUUUAUAAGAUUUCAAAUGAUCCUACAAAUUAAGGACUAAGUUGCAAUUUCCUCCAAAAUCUCAUUAGAAACUUAUAGACGAAACUUUUAAGAAAACAUGAUAACUAAUAUUUCAUUCCAAAUAUCACAUGUGAUUAUUAGUAUAACUCUUUUAUCUACUUUGAACUACUUUUAAUUUUUCUUUAAUCAAGACAACCUUUUCAAUAGUUAAUUACACAAGUUCAAACUCUAAAAGUUUCUUUUGUCUAACAUCAUCUUAACAAAUAAGAGAUUGACAUCUUUUUCCAUACAACCCCUGAAAUGGUGUCAUCUUAAUACUAGCUUGAAAACUAUUAUUGUAGGCAAUCUCUAUCAAAUGUAAGUAAUCAUCUCAAUUACCUUUUAGGUCUAAAACAUGUGCUUUCAACAAAUGUUCCAAAACUUGAAUUAUGGUCUCUAGCUAGUCAAUAGUUUGAGGAUGGAAAUAGUGCUUAAACUCAACUUAAUACCCAUAGCUUUCUAUAAACUAUGCCAACAUUUGGAAAUAAAACGAGGAUCCAUGUCAAAUGUUAUAGAAAUAGGUACCCCAUACAUUCUCACAAUCUCUUUAACAUAAGUAAAAGUUAGUUGGUCCAUGGAAAAACUUUCAUAGACAAAAAUGAGUAGACUUUGUUAAUCAAUCAACAAUCACCUAGAUAACAUUACUAGCUACCCUUUAAGGUUUUAAGAAAGUCAUCGAGUAGAAGAUUUUGGGUGUACGAAACCUCCUUUGAUGUAAGGCUAUAGCUCAUAGGAUGCGUACAAGUGUGUGCACUGGAAUUGUACACGACACGCACAUGGGCAACAAUAUGAGGAGAGAGACUUUCUAGUUUUUUGAAACAAAAUAAAAAUAUACAAAAUUUUUUAGUUUUUCCCAUAUGUAAUUUUAGGAAGUGUUUCCUCUAAAAAUGUUAUUAAAUAAUUUUAAAAAAUUAACACAUAAUUUUUAGUUUUUUUCCCAAUCCAAAAAUGGUUUUUAAAAUAAGAAAUAUAAUAUAUUUUAAAAUACAAAUUUCUUUAAUUGUAUUAGUCAUAUACCCUUAUUUCAAAAAGAGAUAAUAAUAAUUGAUUGCGUUAUAGAUAUGUCCCUAAUUGCUUCUUUAGUCUUUAGAACGGCAUGAUAUAUAAUUUCUUUGAUUCAAAACGCUAAAAUGAUUCUGACUGAACACCAACUACCAUUUUUUAUUAGUUUGUUUAAUAAGCAUAAUAUUAUUUGGGGAAAAACCCCAAAUAUUCUAAAUCACACGGUCGUGAACAAUGCAAAACAACCUGCGGCCCAAAUUUUUUCUCAACAACCAAACAAAUCCUUAAAUGGAAAACUCACCUGCGAUUAAUCCAAAAGGAAGAGGAAGCUCCACUUCGGUUCCAGAAACCUUCAAAAUAUUCCACCUUUGAUGAACAAAGAUGAAGAAAUGGGUCAACUUUGACUUCGUUGAAGGCUUUCGAAAAAUGCAAAUCGGGUUAGGGCAAAAUGAGAGGAAGUGAUUUGAUUUCCCCAAAUUUCAAAGUAUAUUGGGUCGGGUGUUUUGUGGGUUUUGCAAAUUUCAUAACUUUUACGUUUUAGAUUUUUUUGUUUAUUAAAAGCACCAGUUUCGAUGACAUGGAGAGGGGGAUGGUUGCUGACAGGGAUGCAAGGAGGGGUAAUUUCAGAAAUGUAAUUACAAACGGUAUAUAGUGCAUGAAAGGGAUAUAAUUUUUUGAAAUAGUGGACAUAUCUUGGGUUAUGCAAACUUCGGUUUUGAAAAUAAUAAUAUUGGGAAAUGGGGCUCCCAAAACAUAACUUUCCCUGUUAUUUGUAGAAAUAUUUAAUUAAAAGAGAUGAAAUAAUCUCAAAAUCGAAAAUCUAACCCUUCCCAUGUUUUUUCUAAAAAAGUAAUCCAUUUUUGACAUAAAUGUCAUUUUCUAUUUCAAGUAUUUACAUGUAGGUUUUAAAAGAAGAGUUAUUUUUACAAGAAAAUAAUGAGGAUAUUUUUGUUAAAAAGUUGCCAAAAAAGGGUGGGAGGUUAAAUUUCAAAAAUUGGGUUUUAAGAGUUCCUUUUAAUCAAAUAACCCUUAUUUGUAUUGAUAUGGUAAAUGUUAUUAUUUUUAUAUAGCGUUGACUCUACGAAACAGCGUGUAGAAAAGGAGGCCGGCAACAAAACAGACAAAGGAGUCAACUAGGGACAAUACCAGGGAUGGAAUUCAAAGGCGCUGUGGGUUGUAGCCUCCAAAAGACAAAACAAGGGUAGCAACUGGGUUGUGUCCCAGACAGUUGGGCGGCGUGUGGCAUAAAUAGCAAGAGAAGCACGCCCAUUUCUGCACAAAGGAAGAAACAAAGAAAGACUGGUUACCGUCGUCAAGAUUGAGAGAAGAACGAGCCUAAAGAUGUCAGGCACAGCUGGUCAAGUUAUACGUUGCAAAGGUAUUCUUUAAUCUACCUUUAUUUCAUGUCUUCUGGGUCUCCCAUUGGAUUCUAUUUAUUUCAUGUCCUGUGGUAGCUUCUCUUGGAGAUUAGGGGUCCUUUUGAUGCUUUUUUUUUUUCUCUCUCUCCUUUUUUAGCAUUGGGUUUAUAUUGUUUCGGGGAAAUGAGAUGAUUGUUAAAGAUGAAUUCAUGAUCACAUGGCCGAUAGGAAAUUGGGGAAUUUGUAGUUAUUUAAUUAUGAAAAUAAUUGGUUGAAUUCUUUGGACAAAUGGAUAUCUCUUUGGUUGAAUUCUUUGACAAGUUGGUGUCCCCAUUACAGCCGCGGUGGCAUGGGAAGCGGGAAAGCCAUUGGUGAUCGAAGAAGUGGAAGUGGCGCCUCCGCAGGCCAUGGAGGUUCGUCUGAAGAUUCUCUUCACCUCCCUCUGCCACACUGAUGUUUACUUCUGGGAAGCCAAGGUAACUUCUCCAUGCCAAUGUUUUGUAGACUGUAAUUACAAAUCUAUAAUGUAUUACUCAAUAUGCAGAGAUUCAUAUAUAGUUGGGUUUUCAAUUUGCAGGGACAGACCCCUUUAUUUCCUCGUAUAUUUGGUCAUGAGGCUGGCGGGUAUGAAGAUAUUCUUACAAAUUAAUUAACCAAAAAUACUAAAUUCCAUUUUCAUUGUUGUCUACUUCAUUUUUCCAACACGAUUGACUAAUAAUUUUCUUUCCUUUCCUGUCAUUUUAAUUAGGAUUGUGGAGAGCGUGGGUGAAGGUGUGACAGAUCUCCAACCUGGAGACCAUGUUCUUCCUGUAUUCACUGGCGAAUGCAAGGACUGCCGGCAUUGCAAAUCGGAGGAGAGUAACAUGUGUGACCUCCUCAGGAUAAACACCGACAGGGGCGUGAUGCUCAAUGAUAACAAGUCAAGAUUCUCUAUUAAUGGAAAACCCAUUUACCAUUUUGUGGGGACUUCCACAUUUAGCGAAUACACUGUGGUUCAUGUUGGUUGCGUCGCUAAGAUCAACCCUGCUGCCCCACUCGACAAAGUUUGCGUUCUCAGUUGUGGAAUCUCAACAGGUGAGGGAGAAUCAUGAAACAAACUCUUCCAAUUUAUUUAUUUCAUUGCUGUUUUCUUUUAUUUCUUGUCUUGUUAAUGACAAGUGUGCUUUCUGUUAAAGGUCUCGGUGCUACAUUGAAUGUUGCAAGACCAUGGAAGGGUUCAUCAGUCGCCAUUUUUGGUUUAGGAGCUGUGGGGCUUGCUGUGAGUUUCUCCUCUCUAAUGGAAGCCGCUCAUUAUUAUGCUCUUUAUUACUGCCAUUUAUGAAAUUAAUUUUACUCUGGUUUUGCAUGAUUAGGCUGCUGAGGGGGCUAGAAUUGCAGGUGCUGCCAGAAUCAUUGGGAUUGAUCUAAACCCUAAGAGAUUUAAUGAAGGUGAGAACUCAAAAUGCUCACAAGAUGAAAACACUGUGUCAUACAAUUACAAAUUACUAUUUGUGCCUGCUCUAAUGCUGAACUAUUUCAUCACACUGACACUAUGGAUGAUCUUUCAUUUGACUUUUGUUGCUAACAGCAAAGAAAUUUGGCGUCACUGAGUUUGUGAACCCAAAGGAUCAUGACAAGCCUGUUCAAGAGGUUCAUUCCUUUACCUUCUAUCAUAAGUUGCUGACAAGCAAAAUAAGUGUGUUUUGUACUGAUUGAGAAUUCUUUUGUGAUUAGGUGAUUGCUGAGAUGACCGGUGGGGGAGUGGACAGAAGUGUUGAGUGUACCGGAAAUGUCAAUGCUAUGAUAUCUGCAUUCGAGUGUGUUCAUGAUGUAAGUUCAUCAGAUCUCAUCUUGUAGUCGAUGGCCAAAGAGAGAUGAAAAUUUUCAAACCAUUUUGAUUAAUUUGGGAGUUUCCAUUGCAGGGGUGGGGUGUGGCUGUAUUGGUUGGUGUGCCAAACAAAGAUGACUCAUUCAAAACGCAUCCCGUGAAUCUAUUGAACGAAAGGACUCUGAAGGGCACUUUCUUUGGCAACUACAAACCCCGUUCCGACCUUCCUUCAGUGGUGGAAAAAUACAUGAACAAGGUAAUUAAUUAAUUAGCCGAAUUCCUUAAUUAGGUGGUUAUAUUUUGGGGAAGAUGAAUUCCUUAGUAAGUUAAUUUUUAUGUGGACAGGAGCUUGAAGUGGAGAAAUUCAUCACACAUGAAGUCCCUUUUGCAGAGAUCAAUAAGGCCUUCGAAUACAUGCUUCAAGGGGAUGGCCUUCGUUGCAUUAUUCGCAUGGAUCCAUAAAAGGUUGGGGAGAUUGGCCUAUUGCAGUUUGUUUUUCGAAGUGCCUGUGUUUGAUGAAAUUCAACUAUGUGGAGCAACCAUAGAUGUAUAAAGCAGUCGCAGUACUUAACAUUUUUACUCUCUUCUUGUGUAAUUUCUUUGUACCUUUAAUUGGACGCCCAUGAUCUAAAUUCUGAAAAGAUCCCAACCCAAUUCUCCCUUGACUUGGAUCUGCACAGCCAUAGCCAUGGCUGUCAAUAAGGAUGUGCUUCAGUUUUUUGUCUUUCUUUCUUGGUUAUGUUGUGAUUUUUUCCCCAAUGCAAUUAUAAUUACCAUCUCAUGUCUUGCCUCCUUGAAGGUGGAAAAAAGUAUUUCUCCUGUGCAUUAGAGACUUGUCAUAACAAGCACACCCAAAUUUUCCUUUUUUUUUUUUUUUUUUUCUUUUUUUUUUUUUGUGUUGCCUGUGGACGGUUUCUAUAAAAAAUAAUUCAUGCUUUUGGAUUUGAAGUACAACUCAUCUUUUCAAAAAAAAAAAAAAAAACAAGAACCAAAAAUAAAAAAUAUUCAAUGAAAAAUAUAAAAACUUUUAAGAUAAAAGGUAAAUUCGUCUUUUCAACCCAAAAACUAAAUUCAUUUUUAAAAAAUCAAUUUAGUAUAAAAAUAAAAUAACUGAUAAAAAGAACCAAUUUUUUUAUAAUAAAAAUUUAAACAAUUAUUUUUUAAUAAAAUAAUUUUAUAUAUAAAAAACCCAAUGCUUGUUUGGUAACCGUUUUAAAAAAAAAUUCUGAAAAAUAGUUAUGAGAACAAUUAUUCUCUUAUUUUUGUAAAACAAAAGUUUAUUUGAAAAAUUAAAAUAUUUUUAACCUAUUUUUAAUAUUUUUAAAUAUGCAUAUCUAAUGUUUUAUUUUUAAUAUUUCUACAUGUUUAUAUGAUUAUUUCUUAAAAUAAUUCUUAGAAAAUAAGUAAAAAUAAUAAAAAAUCAAUUAAAAGAUGUUUUAUGAAAACACCAUGUUUUCUAUUCUUAAAAUUAGAAAACAAAAAAUAUUUUUUGUUUGUCAAACAUUUUUUUUAUAUUUUUAUUCUGCUGAACAGAAAACUAUUCUAAAACACAAUUCCCAAACAAGGCCCAAACCUCUGCUAUAUUAUCAGUUGGAGUUGCUGUAUUUUUUGUGCACUUAAACUAAUUUAGAUGCAAAAAAGGAUGACUAAAAGGUAAGAAUAGGAAAGGAAGAGGCCUUGGAGUGAAAAAACAGGAGUUCAAUCUUGGUUAAAUCCAAGUGAACCCAAAUUUUGUUUGGAGAAAAAAUAAAAUAAAAUUCAAAUUUUUUAUGAAUAAGUUAGUCAAUUAUAUUAUAUAUUACAUUAAUAUCAAGAUUUUUUUCUUGUCAUGUCUCUAUCAUAUUAUAAUUAAAAGUAUUCAAUUAUGAUGACGAUAAGCUACCUAACCAAAAUCACAAGGUUAUGUUUGGCUCCCAAAAAAUACUAAGUAAAGAAAAAAAAAUACGAAAGGAAAUGAUUUUUUCAUAUUUGGUUGUCCUAUGAAAAAUAUAAAAGAAAAUCGAAUAUAAUUAAAACUAGUUAAAAACUUAUAUAUUUUUAAAUUAUUUAAUUUUUAUAUAAAUAAAAUGAGUUUGAAAUAGUAAAUAAAAAUAAUUUAUCGACUUUUAAUUUAUUUUUUAUUUUCCAUUAUUUCUUCUUUCCUUCUACUUUUCUUUUGUAUUUUCUUUCCCUUACAUUUUUCCUCAAAAUUUUCGAGAACCAAACAUAGCCUAACUAAUUAGAUUGUAUCACAUAUGCAUUUUGAUUCAUUGCUUUUUAUUUGUUGCUUUGUCCUAGUCUCUUCUUGUCUUUGUCAUAUAUACUAUAAAUUACAAAUGUCUGGCUAUGAUACCGAAGAGGUAUCUAAUGAAAACUAUGACUAAUUAGGUUGCAUUACGCAAUGUAUUUUGAUUUCAUUACUUUUAUAUUUAGGGAGGAUCAUCUAAAGCACAAUAUCUUACCAUAUACCAAAGGAGAGUAUUAUAUCAUUUCUAUCAUCACGAUACUUUUAAGUUUUAACACACUUUAGCAUUCAUAAAAUAGUAAUACUUUUUUUUUUUUUUAAAGAUUGUGUUGAUCGGUAUGCAAACUCAUUCGUUGAAAUUUGCAUUUUUAUUUUUUAUUUUAACCAAACAAUACUUUUAUCCAGACCAUUUUUAGAAAUAUUAGAUUAAGGGAUAGGAUAAUACCAUAUUUAGAAAAAUAUUUUUUAUGUAUCCAAAAUUGCAUAUAUAUAUCCUUAUUCAAAAUUAUUCUGAAUGAGCAGACCAAUUGGAAGCUCUUUUAUACCUUACCCACUCUCUAUUAGUUUGUUAAUAAACAAAACUUUGAAUAGAUAAGAGUGAUGAAAUAUUAUUAGUUUUAUACAGCGUUGACAACAAGCAACCGCGUAUGUAGGAAAGGCGGCAGACAAACAAACCAGGGAUGGAAUUCGAAGGCGCCGUGGGUUGUAGCCCCCCAAAAGACAAAACAAGGGUAGUGAAUAGUAACUGGGUUUUGUGUCCCAGACGGUAGGUGGAAUGUACUAUAAAUAGCAAUUGUAGGACAUCCAUUUCUCCACAAAGACAAAAACAGAGCAAGAGUACUACUGUGAAGCGUGAGAGAGCCUAAAGAUGUCAAGCACAGCUGGUCAAGUUAUACGUUGCAAAGGUAUUCUAGAAUCUACCUUUUUCUCUUCCUUUUUGUAUUGGGCUUAUGCUAUUGUCCUGGUUGUUUUGGGGAAAUGAGAUGAUUGUUAAAGAGGAAUUCAAGAUCACAUGGCCGAUAGGAAAUUGGGGAAUUUGUACCUACAUAUAUUGCUUUCUCCUGUUCAUAUAGGUUUCCUAGUGUCUGUGAUCGUUUGUAUUAUUUUUAAUUAUGUACACGAUUGGUUGAAUUCUUUUGACAAAUGGGUAUCUCCAUUACAGCCGCGGUAGCAUGGGAAGCAGGAAAGCCAUUGGUGAUAGAAGAAGUGGAAGUGGCGCCUCCACAGGUCAUGGAGGUUCGUCUGAAGAUUCUCUUCACCUCCCUCUGCCAUACUGAUGUUUACUUCUGGGAAGCCAAGGUAACUUCUUCAUGCCAGUGUUAUGUAGACUGUAAUUACAAAUCUAUAAUGUAUUACUUAAUAUGCAGAGAUUCAUGUAGAGUUGGGUUUUCAAUUUGCAGGGACAAACCCCUUUAUUUCCUCGUAUAUUUGGUCAUGAGGCUGGCGGGUAUGAUGAUAUUCUUUGAAAAAUUAUUUAACAAAACUACUCAAUUUCAUUUUCAUUGAUGUCUACUUCAUUUUUCCAACACAAUCGACCUUUUUAUCUUAAUAAUUUUCUUUCCUUUCCUGUCAUUUUAAUUAGGAUUGUGGAGAGCGUGGGUGAGGGUGUCACAGAUCUCCAACCUGGAGACCAUGUUCUUCCUGUAUUCACUGGCGAAUGCAAGGAGUGCCGGCACUGCAAGUCAGAGGAGAGUAAUAUGUGUGACCUCCUCAGGAUAAACACCGACAGAGGCGUGAUGCUCAGUGAUAACAAAUCAAGAUUCUCUAUUAACGGAAAACCCAUUUACCAUUUUGUGGGGACUUCCACAUUUAGCGAAUACACUGUGGUUCAUGUUGGUUGCGUCGCUAAGAUCAACCCUGCUGCCCCA